rnacentral:rRNA from 1 species
UGAGAGGACGACCAGCCACACUGGAACUGAGACACGGUCCAGACUCCUACGGGAGGCAGCAGUGGGGAAUUUUGGACAAUGGGGGCAACCCUGAUCCAGCCAUGCCGCGUGCGGGAAGAAGGCCUUCGGGUUGUAAACCGCUUUUGUCAGGGACGAAAAGGUGCGGGUAAGAGCUAGCACUGAUGACGGUACCUGAAGAAUAAGC